rnacentral:rRNA from 1 species
GAACUGCGCAAACGUUAUUCGGAAUCACUGGGCUUAAAGGGUGCGUAGGCGGCUUGUCAAGUAGGGUGUGAAAUCUCUCGGCUCAACCGAGAAACUGCGCUCUAAACUGGCUCGCUUGAGUACGAUAGGGGUGUGCGGAACUUCUGGUGGAGCGGUGAAAUGUGUUGAGAUCAGAAGGAACGCCGGUGGCGAAAGCGGCACACUGGGUCGUAACUGACGCUGAGGCACGAAAGCUAGGGGUAGCGAACGGGAUUAGAUACCCCGGUAGUCCUAGCUGUAAACGAUGAGCACUAGACGGGAGAGGGUUCGCCCUUUCCCGGUCGCAGCGAAAGCGUUAAGUGCUCCGCCUGGGGAGUAUGGUCGCAAGGCUG